rnacentral:lncRNA from 13 species
CUGAGAACUGCCUGGGAGCUCUGCCUGCACUGAGGGUUGCCAACCUCCCUCCAUCAGUCCUGAACUUUGAGCAUGGCCUGUUCACCCUAGCUGGGUAUUUCAGCUGGGGAAAAUCUGACUGCACAUUUCCUACAGAUUCUGGAGAACAGCAGAGGCUUUACCCAAUUUAUUAUGCAGUUUCACCUUCCUCUUGUUCUCUUGUCACUGAGUUGCAGGCAAUGGGAGCCUGUAACAAGGGUGACUAUUCUGGAGAAACUGCCCAAGAGAACCUCUGUGCCUUGGUGUCCUGAUGGAGGAGAAAAACCUGACUCAAAUGAGGAUACAUCAGUUUUAAUCCCAUCAAAUCAUUGGCCUUUCUGUUAAAAACUUUAAGAAGAUUGUCUUCUAUGCAGAUGUUAUUUGUGAUGUGAACAUAUUCUCUGGAUUUGGAAAAUAAAACCAAGGUAACUGGAUUUUGAAAAUGAACUCAUUUACAAUUGGUUGUUAGAGGAGUCACAACAUGACUUUCAGGCCUCUUGUGGCUUGGGCAGAACCUGAACUUAUGUUCUUGAAAUUAAAAGCUCUGCACGCCAUUACUUAUUCCCUGGCCAUACCAGAUUGCUAAUAUAUUAUCUCUGAUAUUUUUGGGGUUUUUUAGAACAAUAUUUAGGCAAAAGGAAGAUGCAUUUCUGCAAUUCUGUCGGCAAAAUAACACUGACAGAAGAUGAUGUCAUGGUUGAUGUCUUUCUAUAGAAGUAUUUAUAAACUAUGCCUACAUAUAAAUCUAUAUCCUUCAACAGUCUGCUGAAAACUUACUGACUGAAUUUUGCUGGAUCUUUUUAGUUUCCAGCUGUUAUAAUGUUUUAAAAGUUAAAAGAACUUGACCCUUACUGUGAGUAAAAAGAAAUUAUGGUUAUGGUUAAGGGAAUUAAGUAGUCAGCAAAAGGAAUGAAGAUGCUCUCUGUUCUGCUAGUGGUAGCUCCUUAAACAAAUCCUUAAAAAUAUGAUUCACAUUAUGAAACAAAUCUGGGAACUUGUGGAUAUCAGCAGAAUAUAGUAUGAUAACUGAAAUCAGUCACUGUAAAAGGACUGACCAUCUGAAAUGAAACAUGACAUGACUGCAGAUGAAAAGAGGAACAUAAGUACUUCACAAAUCCAUUUUCUAUCCAUUUUAUCCAAGCAGAGAUUACUACUUUUUGCAGUAUCAAGCAAAGACCUGGUCUUUGAAAGUGUUCACUGAAAAAAGAAUAGUAGAAAGAAAAUUUCCAUUUUCCUUAAUAUGAUAUGCUUGUUCAUGUGAACUGUUCCCCGCUGGGUAAGGGUGUGUAAAGGAAGCUCUCCAUGCCAUGGAAAUACCCUGUCAUCUUGAAGAUUAAGGUCACUAGAUAGAAAGCAGGAGGUUACUUAUGACAGAAAGACUUUCUGCAAAGGUUCAUGGCUCACAGGAGGGAACUACUGAUUGUCUGAAAGGCCUGAAGAGGCAUUAAACGUCAGAGAGGUCCUUCCCAGUGGCAUACUUAACAAAGAGCUAUCCUCCCUUCUUUGUGACAUGGUGACAUUACUUUUUUAAUCCACCACAACUGCUCUUUGAUGAAAAGGAGAAUGGUGACAAUACAGCCGAUAAACCUGACUGCUUUUCCAGCUGCUAUUCAUGGGAAACUGUAUGUGUCUGGAGAAAAUUGGAGGCCUAAACUUUUGAAGGCAUAAUACCCAGAAGGAAAAUUCUCUCCCAGAAGUUCUGAAUAUGCUCCCGAAUAUGUCCACGUAGUAAUGGUGUAACAGCAGAGAGGUAAUUUAGUUACUGUUAUGAAAAAUUCUUUUGUUGUGAGUGGGAAAACAUACGUAUGCUAUUUAUUAAAAAUGGACUUAAACCUGUUACCCACCUAUUCACUUACAACAUCACAAAAUGCAUUGUAUUAAAGCAGAAAAUACUAUUUCCCUGUAUUCCCAUUUAACAUCAGCACCAGCAUCUAUGUUUUUGAAAAAUGCAAUCAAAUUACUCGUUCCUGAAUCUUCUCUCGUGUUUGUCUUCAGUUCUCUCUGCUUUCCCCUUGUAUAUUGAAGCAAGUAUAGUUUGGGGACAAGAUGUCACUUUCAAUGCCUUGAUCUGAUUCUGAAGUAGCAUUAAUUGUUAGGAAUCAGAUGAUUUUAACAAGACAGUACAUUUUUUUAGCACUUCUUAUGAGGGUUUUGUGGGAAGACUGUGUGAAGAAAAUCAGUUAUUUUUGCAAUUGAUUGAGAAAUCAGUUUUAAAAGAUUCAGUUCUGCACAUUCAUUUGAUAGUUUUUCCAGCAGAGGGCAAGAAAGUACAACAGAUGGAAAUGGUGUUACUUUUCCAAAGAGCCACAGUGGAAAAGUUAAGCAGUAUAGCCUGAAGAUGGAACGUGAAAGGUAAUAACCAUCCCCCUUUUAGGGCAUAAUGGCUUUUCAACAGCCUUUUACUCUUCAAGGAUAGCCAUAGAAAGACAAGGUGGAAAAGGAGCAGAGGAUACCACCAGAGCUGCCAACUGGUUCGUGCUGCUUUGUCAGCACAAGUUCCUCCAGUUGAGCUCUGAUUUCUGGGGGGUGUGAGGGAAAGUGGCUCACUGUACCUUUCCUAAGCAGGCUGCAGUGACCCACAGUUCCUCACUCGAUGUCCGGUUUGUGGGAUGAGGAGGCACACGGGCGCCUGUCUGAUGCAGGGCUCCCAUCCUUUGCAGUUGUUAACAGUUGUUAAGGCUGUAAAGCAGGGUUUGCUCCUUCUUCAAGGGGCAGAAAAAACUUUACUUGAACUCAGACUUUAGAAGCUUGAGCUGAUUUUCAGGAAUAAAUAUCUGGGAUUUUGCUUCCAAACAUGAAAAAAGUGUGCUUAUUGCUAUAUAUUAUGGUGUGUGUAUACACAUAUAUAUAUACAUGUGUGUUAUAGAUGCACAUGUGGAAACAAGAACUUUGAGCUUUUCCAUGGAAUCAGUUUGCAGACUAUCCAGUUGAAGACUGGAGACAUCAUUUGUCAUGCAGCGGUAUGUAUUCACCAAGGCAUUUCUCAAAUUUCUUCAAAUCAUUGCAGUGACUUUAAAAAUGUUGUACAGUCACUCUUUCAACUAGAAAAAAUUCAAGUCUCCUGAUGCAAACCUCCUGUUAAGGUCCAAACUUAGUUUGCCAUGCAGUUGUUUGCUGUCAGUGGUUCCUUAUGAAAAGCGUCUGAUUUGGGCAAAAGUUGCAGCUGCCUUUUCUUUGGGUUUUCCUAAUUUCUUUGAGUAAAAUAUAUAACUCAUAAAUAGCAAGCUCAUACUCUUAUUUUGCUGUCACUGACAGGGCAAAUAAUCUCAUUUCUUAUGAUAAUGAAAGCAGAAUUCUGAGGAAAAGAAUAAGUUUUGGUUAUCAUAGUUGAUCAGGCUGCACGCAGUACAGCCUGAAUGUCUUAGAAGAAUGAAAGCGAUUAAAAUGGUAUAAAAUUUUUUUAAUGUGAAAAUAAUAAUGAUAACCUCAAAAUCAUACUGAUUGAAUGCCAAAAUUAGGAAUAUAUUAAUAAAAAUAUGCUAUUUUAGUAAUAAUUAUCUGUUUAAAGUGUAACCAAUCAUUUUUGGACCAAUGAAGUACUUAUCUAGGAGGAAGCCUUAUGUCAGUUUUCAUAAAGGUAGUUUUGCGUCUCUGUGUGUUUGUUAGUUAUGACUAUACUGCAAGUCUAACAUUUUCGCAUUGCUUGAUUUAAGUUUCUAGAAACAGAUUCUGUUUGCAUAGCAGAAAUACAUAAUUUACAAUAAAAUUUACAUAACCGUAUGAAUAGCUUCAGAGCUCUG